UUGAUUUUGACAGACCUGGAGCAGUUAUUCUCUGCUUCUGAGGUUUCCACUACAAAUACAGGAAAAAAGCAUCCUCGUGCUUUCUGUCUGUCUAAUUGUGGCAGCCAAGAUUGAAUGGGGGAAAACAAGG